rnacentral:rRNA from 1 species
AGCAGCCGCGGUAAUUCCAGCUCCAAUAGCGUAUAUUAAAGUUGCUGCAGUUAAAAAGCUCGUAGUUGAAUUUCGGGACCAUCAUGUCGGUCGUGCCUUGGUACGUACUAAUUUAUUGGUUUCUUCCUUCUGACGAACCAUGAUGUCAUUAAUUUGGUGUCUUGGGGAAUCAGGACUGUUACUUUGAAAAAUUAGAGUGUUUAAAGCAGGCUCACGCUUGAAUACAUUAGCAUGGAAUAAUGAAAUAGGACGUUUGAUUCUAUUUUGUUGGUUUCUAGGAUCGACGUAAUGAUUAAUAGGGAUAGUUGGGGGCAUUAGUAUUCAAUUGUCAGAGGUGAAAUUCUUGGGUUUAUUGAAGACUAACUACUGCGAAAGCAUUUGCCAAGGAUGUUUUCAUUAAUCAAGAACGAAAGUUAGGGGAUCGAAGACGAUCAGAUACCGUCGUAGUCU